UUGUUGGUGUUUUCCCCUGGCUGUUUCACUUCUGUCCCAGAGCAUUUCCCCUCACCUGUUUUCUUUUGCAAUCAAGACUAUCGAAGUUGAUUCUUGUUCUACCUUUGUUGUCGGGACAUUGAUGAUCUGUCCACUGGAUUACAGAGGAGCUUUUUGAUGCUAAGCCUAAUACGCACAAUUUCGUGGACGCCGUCUGCUCCACAUUUCCCCAGCUGACGCUUCCCAUGGCAGCAAAGGGUGAUUCCGAGCCCCAGGAAGGCUCCUGUGCAUCAGGAGAAAGAACACCAAAAGUCUUUUUUUUUUUUUUUACGAGGUGAGAGCGGGUGAAGGGUGGCAGAAGAAGCAGAAACAAUGGAAGACCUCACUCUUCUUCUCUGCAUGGGAAAAAUGGUGGACCACACCUGGAAAUUAACACCAAAAAUAGUCCCAGUCAUAAAACCACUGAGGCAGGGGGUGUUAAACUCAUUUUAGAUGGUGGGCCACAUGGAGAACAAUAUACUCCCAAGUGGGCUGGACCGGUAAAAUCUUUGCACAAUCAUUUAAAAAUAAAGACAACUUCAGAUUGUUUUCUUUGUUUCAAAAUAAAAUAAGCACAUUUUGAAAAAUGUACAAAUCAUAAUGUAGGUUUUUUUUUUUACACUUACAUGUUGCGGUUAAUAAUAUUACAUUUUUAUUUGUCGAUGUUUAUACUUUCUGAAUAACGUAUGUUAUAAUGUUCAUCAGUCAACUCAUUGGUGUCGAUUUUCAUUCUAUUAAGAUAAAAAAAUAAUAUCAAAACAAAAUUGCAGGAUGUUUUUUUAUGUAGUUUGCUCAUUUUCCUCGACUGGUGCUAUAACAUCAUGUUUUUUUACAUGUGUCACGUAAUCUAUAAAGAUAUAAAGAAUUGCUAUUGCGACAUUUAGUGGACACAUUAAAAACAGCAGUUUUUUUUCAUUCCAAAAUUUCGGCUCAUUUUUAUACCGCGGGCCGAAUAAAACCUGUUCCGGAUCAGGCCCACAGGCCGUAUGUUUGACACCCCUACCCUAAGGGGUCUACUACAGUACAUUUUAGGAGCAUGACGGAGAAAUAAUUGCUAUCUGUAAGAAAAAAAAAAACAAUUUUGGAAGUUUUUUCUGAGGAAUCUUAUGAGAAUUAAGUCAGAUUUUUGGGAGAAAAAAAGUAAAAAUUUAAUUAGAAUAAAAUUGUAAAACUUUGGUAGUGUUUACUCAUCUGUCUUGUCUGUACUCAGCCAUGCACACAUUUUUUCAUAUACAGUACAGUUCAAAAGUUUGGACACCUUCUCAUUUAAAAUGGUUUUCUUUAUUUUCAUGACUAUUUACAUUGUAGAUUGUCACUGAGGGCAUCAAAACUAUGAACAAACACAUGUGGAGUUAUGCACUUAACAAAAAAGGUGUAAUAACUGAAAACAUGUUUUAUAUUCUAGUUUCUUCACUACUGCUUUGCACACUCUUGGCAUUCUCUCCACGAGCUUCAAAAGGUAGUCACCUAAUAAAACUUUUCACUUCACAGGUGUCAUAGUUUUGAUGCUUUCAGUGACAAUCUACAAUGUAAAUAGUCAUGAAAAUAAAUAUCAAUAAAAUGAGAAGGUGUGUCUAAACAUUUGGUCUGUACUGAAUGUGUACAUGUGUGUGUGUUUUUGUAUUUGUGUGUGAUGAAAUGAUGGGGGAUAUGGGUCAUUGCGGUGUUGCUUUUAAAUCUGUCAGCAAUUCACUUCAAAUAUGAAAGUAAUCUGUGACGUAAAUUUGAUGUUAACUCAUUACAUGCAAAGUGAAAUAUGUCAAGCCUUUUUUUUAAUUCAAAUGUGAUGGUCAUGGCUUGCAGUUUACAGUGCACCACAUUUUCUGAGAUUUUCAAGUCAAAGUUUUCGUAAACCAUAAGCAAUAAACAUCAACAUAUCAAAAUAAAGUACAAAAUAUCUUGUGUUGCAUGUU